GCUCUGGUGGAUCAGUGUUAGAUCAUCCUCUCAAUGUAAAAUUGGGUCUUCGCUGUUCGGAGGAAGACGCGGGUUCGACUCCCGCCGGGGGCA